rnacentral:rRNA from 1 species
AGAAUCAACGCUGGCGGCGUGCCUAACACAUGCAAGUCGAACGAGAAAGUGGAGCAAUCCAUGAGUAAAGUGGCGCACGGGUGAGUAACGCGUGACUAACCUACCCUUGAGUGGGGGAUAACCUAGAGAAAUCUGGGCUAAUACCGCAUAAUACCUUCGGGUCAAAGGAGCAAUUCGCUUAAGGAGGGGGUCGCGGCCGAUUAGUUAGUUGGCGGGGUAAUGGCCCACCAAGACUAUGAUCGGUAUCCGGCCUGAGAGGGCGCACGGACACACUGGAACUGAAACACGGUCCAGACUCCUACGGGAGGCAGCAGUGGGGAAUUUUGCGCAAUGGGGGAAACCCUGACGCAGCAACGCCGCGUGGAGGAUGAAGUCCCUUGGGACGUAAACUCCUUUCGAUCGGGACGAUAAUGACGGUACCGAGAGAAGAAGCCCCGGCUAACUUCGCGCCAGCAGCCGC